rnacentral:lncRNA from 1 species
GCUUUAGGACAUAAAAACAGCCUUUAAACCAAAUCAUGUACAUCUCCCUCAAUACUUUUCCUGUCAUCUUUUCUAGCACAACAAAAUCUUGAGCAAUUUUGGACCCAGCAAACAUAGACUUCCCAGGACAGACCGCUUGUCCUUGCCAUGGUCCUUCAUGCUCUGGUGAUGGAGAUCGCAGGGGUUCAGCAGCCCUCCAGCUAAUCACUUCUCCCUCCGAGAGGAGUAGCUAUUGCCUUGCAUCUCUGCCUCAUCAAAGGAGAACCAAAUUGGCUUGUGGGCAUUCUACUGGGAUUGGUAUGUGGCAUGUUGCAUUAAUAGAGUGUUUGAAGUACAGCCUUCAGAAAGUAUGCUUCCAUUUGCCACACUUUAUCAUAAUCAGAGACUCAGAGCAUCGACCACAAGAAAGAACAGAGUCUGAAGUCUUUAUUGAAUGAAAGAUAGAUAAGCAGAGUAGGGCAGGAGAAAGGUUGUAGAAAAGACCCAAUUCAUGUUUUCAAUAACCAUGCACAUUUCCACAAUGUCUUAGGAGCAAGAUUAUGUCUUACAAGCAAGAUGACUCAAGGACGUUGUGGGGAAUGAGCGUGAAUUGACAAGACAAACUUCCAUAGUCUCUGGAGUGAUGUGCAAGGGUGACCCCAAAGGUCAAAGGACUCAGAUCAUAAACUCAUAGUGGGAAGGAACAAAAGAGAUCAGCUCCUCAUGUUAAAACUGGGACAGCUGAAGCUCAGGGAGUAUAUAGACUUAACCAAGGUCACGCAGGUGGUUGGUGAUGGAACAAGACCUGAAGUAUCCAGGUUUCCAGCAUCUGUUUAUGACCUCACGCUGACUUUUAGGAGGACAUGACUAUGAGCAAACAUAAAGGUUUUCAGAUGGCAGAAACCAAGGCACGGGUGUAAAAGGCCAGGGAAGUAUUCCAGGAGGACACAGAAUAAACUGAAGAGGCUUUGAAGAAUAGAUCCCAUUUAAAUAAAAGGGGAGCAGAGGACACUGCAGAAAGCAGGGGAUGCCCUCCAUCUGCCCAGAAUGUGCCAAACCUGGCAUCUCAAUAUCAGAACAAAGAGAUAAGCAGAUUCUUGUGAUGAAAAAUUGCUACCGCAGUAAAAUUAAAUCCCCCUUCCCGGAAGAAACAUAAGCCCUUGUAAAGACAAGAAAUCUAAACCUCUGUGUCCUCACUUAAUAGUUUAAAGAAACUUACAAGAUCCUUGAAAGGUUGAAGAGAGAAGCGGGGUAGAAUUCACUUUUUCUCCCUGCUUAAAGGAAUAGUGUUUCCUGCUAACAGCUGUAACACUCAGGAAGCACCAGAGGGUUUCAUCCCUGGUAGGGCAGCAGGGCAGGGACAGUUCCCCAGAGCGUGGGAGGGGAAUCCAGCUUCCCCAGAGGCUCAGCCAAUCACCAGUGGGGGAGGCACUCCAGGAAGCCUGAGACUCCCUCUCAGCUCAUUGGCCCAUCACUCAUCUCCCCCAACUAGGAUGGGAUGAAGGCUCUAAAACCAAGACACCAAGACAGCCGCUCACGUUGGCCAGCAUUCAUGAAACAAUUUGCAGGCGAAAAACGUAGAACCCAGGAUGGAGACGUACAU